AUUGAACGCUGGCGGCAGGCUUAACACAUGCAAGUCGAGCGGGGUGAUGGUGCUUGCACUAUCACUUAGCGGCGGACGGGUGAGUAAUGCUUAGGAAUCUGCCUAUUAGUGGGGGACAACAUCUCGAAAGGGAUGCUAAUACCGCAUGCGUCCUACGGGAGAAAGCAGGGGAUCACUUGUGAUCUUGCGCUAAUAGAUGAGCCUAAGUCGGAUUAGCUAGUUGGUGGGGUAAAGGCCUACCAAGGCGACGAUCUGUAGCGGGUCUGAGAGGAUGAUCCGCCACACUGGGACUGAGACACGGCCCAGACUCCUACGGGAGGCAGCAGUGGGGAAUAUUGGACAAUGGGGGGAACCCUGAUCCAGCCAUGCCGCGUGUGUGAAGAAGGCCUUAUGGUUGUAAAGCACUUUAAGCGAGGAGGAGGCUUACCUAGUUAAUACCUGGGAUAAGUGGACGUUACUCGCAGAAUAAGCACCGGCUAACUCUGUGCCAGCCGCCGCCGUAA
rnacentral:rRNA from 1 species